UAGCGUAUCAUCCUCCUAAAUGACAUAAUAAGCUCGAAAUAAGAAAACUAUUGUAAUCAUCCUCUUCCUCUUCCUAUCCUUCUUCUUCUUCUUCUUCUUCUCCGCCUCCUCCUUCUUCUCCUACUUCUUCUCCUUCUACUUAUUCUCCUCUCCUCCUCCUCCUUCUUAUUCUUCUUCUUCUUCUUCUUCUUCUUCUUCUUCUUCUUCU
rnacentral:lncRNA from 1 species